UUGUUUGCCUGGUAAGGGAGACAUCAUGGUUGUGGAAGGUGGGUUCUCUAGGAUGAAGCCAAUCCUUUGCACUCCAGAUGUGCUGAUCCCUUAUUUCCCAAGAACCUCGUCUGCGUAAUUUUUGGCAGGAGGAGACUGUCUGCACCUUUCCCUG
rnacentral:snRNA from 14 species